GGCUCCGCCCGUUUUUGUCGCGUCCUCACUUUUUACCCUAAUAUAUUUGCUUUUUGGACUU
rnacentral:sRNA from 1 species